UCUCUUCUCUCUAAGAAAACUCCCAGCUAUUUCACUUCGUUUGCCUGUGGAAAACUGACAUUGUUCAUUUUUACA